UACGUAGGGGGGCUAGCGUUAUCCGGAAUUACUGGGCGUAAAGGGUGCGUAGGUGGUUUCUUAAGUCAGAGGUGAAAGGCUACGGCUCAACCGUAGUAAGCCUUUGAAACUGAGAAACUUGAGUGCAGGAGAGGAGAGUAGAAUUCCUAGUGUAGCGGUGAAAUGCGUAGAUAUUAGGAGGAAUACCAGUUGCGAAGGCGGCUCUCUGGACUGUAACUGACACUGAGGCACGAAAGCGUGGGGAGCAAACAGG
rnacentral:rRNA from 1 species